rnacentral:rRNA from 1 species
GAUGAACGCUGACAGAAUGCUUAACACAUGCAAGUCAACCUGAAUUUGGGUUUUUAACUUAGGUUUGGGUGGCGCACGGGUGAGUAACGCGUAAAGAACUUGCCUCACAGCUAGGGACAACAUUUGGAAACGAAUGCUAAUACCUAAUAUUAUGAUAAUAGGGCAUCCUAUAAUUAUGAAAGCUAUAAGCGCUGUGAGAGAGCUUUGCUUCCCAUUAGCUAGUUGGAGAGGUAACGGCUCACCAAGGCGAUGAUGGGUAGCCGGCCUGAGAGGGUGAUCGGCCACAAGGGAACUGAGACACGGCCCGUACUCCUACGGGAGGCAGCAGUGGGGAAUAUUGGACAAUGGACCGAGAGUCUGAUCCAGCAAUUCUGUGUGCACGAUGAAGUUUUUCGGAAUGUAAAGUGCUUUCAGUUGGGAAGAAACAAAUGACGGUACCAACAGAAGAAGUGACGGCUAAAUACGUG